rnacentral:rRNA from 1 species
CAAAUUAUCCUCAUAAGUUCGUCAAUAAGAGGAACCAUUUUCUUAAUAUUAAUAACUCCUGUUAAUGUUAGUCUUAAAAAAGUGGUGGCAAAAAAUCGGAAGCCCCGACUGUUUACUAAAAACACAACUAUCUGCAAUGAUGCAAAUCAUAGUAUAGGUAGUGAGGUUUGCCCAAUGCCAUCAGCAUAAGAGACGUAAUGGGAAACUGUUAAAUAUCGAAAGCCUGGUUAAUAGCGGUCUUAACCAUGAGGAUCCUAAGGUAGCAAAAUAAAUUGGCCAUUAAAUGUGGUCCGGUAUCAAUAAUUUAACGAUGGCUUCACUGUCUCUACAACUUGCUCAGUGAAAUUGAAUUGUGAGUGCAGAUGCUCACUACUCGCAGGGGACG